AACGAACGCUGGCGGCAUGCCUAACACAUGCAAGUCGAACGAGAAGCUUUCCUUCGGGAAAGUGGAAAGUGGCAGACGGGUGAGUAACGCGUGGGAACGUGCCUUUCGGUCCGGAAUAACUCAGGGAAACUUGGGCUAAUACUGGAUACGCCCUUCGGGGGAAAGAUUUAUCGCCGAAAGAUCGGCCCGCGUCAGAUUAGCUUGUUGGUGGGGUAAUGGCUCACCAAGGCGACGAUCUGUAGCUGGUCUGAGAGGAUGAUCAGCCACACUGGGACUGAGACACGGCCCAGACUCCUACGGGAGGCAGCAGUGGGGAAUAUUGGACAAUGGGCGCAAGCCUGAUCCAGCCAUGCCGCGUGGGUGAAGAAGGCCCUAGGGUUGUAAACCCCUUUCAGCGGGGAAGAUAAUGACGGUACCCGCAGAAGAAGCCCCGGCUAACUCCGUGCCAGCAGA
rnacentral:rRNA from 1 species